rnacentral:rRNA from 1 species
CAGUAGCCGCGGUAAUACGAAGGGGGCUAGCGUUGCUCGGAAUUACUGGGCGUAAAGGGAGCGUAGGCGGACAUUUAAGUCAGGGGUGAAAUCCCAGAGCUCAACUCUGGAACUGCCUUUGAUACUGGGUGUCUUGAGUGUGAUAGAGGUAUGUGGAACUCUGAGUGUAGAGGUGAAAUUCGUAGAUAUUCGGAAGAACACCAGUGGCGAAGGCGACAUACUGGAUCAUUACUGACGCUGAGGCUCGAAAGCGUGGGGAGCAAACAGGAUUAGAGACCCCCGUAGUCCCUGUCUCUUAUAC